AGUGGUGGGGUGACUGCGUACCUUUUGUAUAAUGGGUCAGCGACUUAUAUUCUGUAGCAAGGUUAACCGAAUAGGGGAGCCGCAGGGAAACCGAGUCUUAAUUGGGCGUUAAGUUGCAGGGUAUAGACCCGAAACCCGGUGAUCUAGCCAUGGGCAGGUUGAAGGUUGGGUAACACUAACUGGAGGACCGAACCGACUAAUGUUGAAAAAUUAGCGGAUGACCUGUGGCUGGGGGUGAAAGGCCAAUCAAACCGGGAGAUAGCUGGUUCUCCCCGAAAGCUAUUUAGGUAGCGCCUCGUGAAUUCAUCUCCGGGGGUAGAGCACUGUUUCGGCUAGGGGGCCAUCCCGGCUUACCAACCCGAUGCAAACUGCGAAUACCGGAGAAUGUUAUCACGGGAGACACACGGCGGGUGCUAACGUCCGUCGUGAAGAGGGAAACAACCCAGACCGCCAGCUAAGGUCCCAAAGUCAUGGUUAAGUGGGAAACGAUGUGGGAAGGCCCAGACAGCCAGGAUGUUGGCUUAGAAGCAGCCAUCAUUUAAAGAAAGCGUAAUAGCUCACUGGUCGAGUCGGCCUGCGCGGAAGAUGUAACGGGGCUAAACCAUGCACCGAAGCUGCGGCAGCGACGCUGAUGCGUUGUUGGGUAGGGGAGCGUUCUGUAAGCCUGUGAAGGUGUGUCGUGAGGCAUGCUGGAGGUAUCAGAAGUGCGAAUGCUGACAUAAGUAAC
rnacentral:rRNA from 1 species